UACGAAGGGGGCUAGCGUUGCUCGGAAUUACUGGGCGUAAAGCGUGCGCAGGCGGUUCGUUAAGACAGAUGUGAAAUCCCCGGGCUUAACCUGGGAACUGCAUUUGUGACUGGCGAGCUAGAGUAUGGCAGAGGGGGGUAGAAUUCCACGUGUAGCAGUGAAAUGCGUAGAGAUGUGGAGGAAUACCGAUGGCGAAGGCAGCCCCCUGGGCCAAUACUGACGCUCAUGCACGAAAGCGUGGGGAGCAAACAGG
rnacentral:rRNA from 1 species